GGUAAAUAAUUUUUGUAGUGUAAAAGUUAAAUAAAUUCAUACAUAUUGUAAUACAGAUAACCAAAGUAUGAAAUUUGAUUUACAGUGACACGUGGGCCCACGACGACCAAAAGUAAUGAAGGCUAUGAACCUACAGUUUUUUAGGAUGCAAGUCCAACUGUAGCCCUCAACGAAAUGAGCUAUUUACCGACUAUCCUGAGCUUGAAAGGGUGGAAAGGAGAGUAGUGAGAUUAUAUAAUCUUAGUGAGUAAACAAAUAGCAUCUAAAAUAUCUAAAGCUGAGUAAAUGGAGACAAAUAAAAUAGUUUAACAUACUGUAAUUCAUCACCUUUCAACUCAUUUCAAC
rnacentral:lncRNA from 1 species